CUACGGAGGGUGCAAGCGUUACUCGGAAUCACUGGGCGUAAAGCGCGCGCAGGCGGCUAUUUAAGUUGGAUGUGAAAGCCUACGGCUCAACCGUAGAACUGCAUCCAAUACUAUUUAGCUAGAGUGUGGGAGAGGAAGAUGGAAUUAGUUGUGUAGGGGUAAAAUCCGUAGAGAUAACUAGGAAUACCAAAAGCGAAGGCAAUCUUCUGGAACACUACUGACGCUGAGGCGCGAAAGCGUGGGGAGCAAACGGGAUUAGAUACCCUAGUAGUCC
rnacentral:rRNA from 1 species